CCACUAGGUGGCAGUAUAGAUACUGUUUGGAAUUGAGAGACGUAGAUGAAGAGCACUGGUUGCUACGGAGACAGAGCGAGAUAACAAUGAAAAGAAACGAUUGUACUGAAGAACAGUUGUGAGAGAAAGAAAUUACAAGUUAAAUUAUUUACUUUAUUUUCAUAAAACAGUUUAAGAAUUUUAUUUUGUUUAAGUAGUGAUACCUUUGAGAAGCCAGAUUCGUUGAAAGAAGAUCCGGACUGCACUGGUUAUUGUGUAUUUAAUUUCCCUUGCUCCGGUUGGUUUUUUUAAGAGGUUGAUUCAACGGACUUUCAUCGAACUUCUCUGGCCCUGGGUACACGCGCAGCCAGUAGUGACUGAAGAAGAGCGUCUGGUCUGGCCACUCGCCUCCUACAGCCGCGUCUCGUUCUGCAUCCAGGCUCCAGAGAUAAGGAGAUCCAUUGCACACACCCGCACGUGGGACACAUAAAAACAUACUACCCGGGUAGAUGGACACUUUUUGACUUAAAGGUUAUUUAUUUAUUUAAUUAUUUGAUUUUAUUUCUUUAUUCAGAGCUCCGAGGGUUUUUUCAUUUCUACUUUCUUAUUUCUUCCAUUUUCUCUAUUUAUUCUUCCUCCUUGAUGAAACGGACAAUACCAAGGACAAUCUAAAGAGUCUAAACAAGAGGUUUCAAUUGAGUGUUUUCCAUAUGAAUAAAUGCCGGCAAUGUUUUGAAACUUUA